UACGUAGGGCGCGAGCGUUGUCCGGAAUUAUUGGGCGUAAAGAGCUCGUAGGCGGCCGGUUGCGUCUGCUGUGAAAUCCCGGGGCUUAACCCCGGGCGUGCAGUGGAUACGGGCCGGCUGGAGGCAGGCAGGGGAGAAUGGAAUUCCCGGUGUAGCGGUGAAAUGCGCAGAUAUCGGGAGGAACACCAAUGGCGAAGGCAGCUCGCUGGGACGGUACUGACGCUGAGGCGCGAAAGCGUGGGGAGCAAACAGG
rnacentral:rRNA from 1 species